rnacentral:rRNA from 1 species
AUUGAACGCUGGCGGCAUGCCUUACACAUGCAAGUCGAACGGUAGAGGGGGCAACCCCUCGAGAGUGGCGAACGGGUGAGUAAUGCAUCGGAACGUGCCCAGUAGUGGGGGAUAGCCCGGCGAAAGCCGGAUUACUACCGCAUGAGACCUACGGGUGAAAGGGGGGGAUCGCAAGACCUCUCGCUAUUGGAGCGGCCGAGGUCAGAUUAGGUAGUUGGUGGGGUAAAGGCCUACCAAGCCGACGAUCUGUAGCUGGUCUGAGAGGACGACCAGCCACACUGGACUGAGACACGGCCCAGACUCCUACGGGAGGCAGCAGUGGGGAAUUUUGGACAAUGGGCGAAAGCCUGAUCCAGCCAUGCCGCGUGCGGGAAGAAGGCCUUCGGGUUGUAACCCGCUUUUGUCAGGGAAGAAAUCCUUUGAGCUAAUACCUCGGGGGGAUGACGGUACCUGAAGAAUAAGCACCGGCUAACUACGUGCCAGCCGCCGCCGUAA